UGUGCAGGGAGGAGGAAACAUUUUGGAGCCGCUUUUGAGGAGCAGCGAUAUGGAUGUUACUCACAAUGAUAAUGAAAUUCAUACCGUCUCCAGGACUCAACGACUCAUUAAACUCCUAAAAAACCUUCAACUCUUUGCUAGCAUGAACAGCAUGCUAACGCUAAGCUAGCCAAGAUCCCAGACUGACGAUAAAGCUGAAUGCCGACCCCCGCCCGACAGUCAGACCCUGCACUUCAACAGAGACGAGAUGAGAAGUUCGUUCAGGAGAGAGGAAGAGUAGAGCUGGCAGCAGCCAGAUGAGGUGGUUCGAGAAUCCUCCGAGGCACCACCCAGGCUGUAACGAGGCUGAACAUCAGGGUGGUGAUGAAGAGGAGGACGGACAGGAGAAGAGAUGUGAGAGCAGAGGAUGCUGUACACCAGCGGGGAGGAGGGGGGAGACUGAGGAAGGCGAGAGGAUGAGCGACGAGGCCGCCUGCCUGGACUCUGAGGCACUGAGGCGUUGUGGGAACCGCUCCUGAGGGUGGAUGAUGAGGCGUUCCCG